AUUGAACGCUAGCGGGAUGCCUUACACAUGCAAGUCGAACGGCAGCACGGACUUCGGUCUGGUGGCGAGUGGCGAACGGGUGAGUAAUGUAUCGGAACGUGCCCAGUAGCGGGGGAUAACUACUCGAAAGAGUAGCUAAUACCGCAUACGCCCUACGGGGGAAAGGGGGGGAUCGCAAGACCUCUCACUGUUGGAGCGGCCGAUAUCGGAUUAGCUAGUUGGUGGGGUAAAGGCCCACCAAGGCGACGAUGCGUAGCUGGUUUGAGAGGACGAGCAGCCACACGGGGACUGAGAAACGGCCCAGAGUCCUACGGGAGGCAGCAGUGGGGAAUUUUGGACAAUGGGGGCAACCCUGAUCGAGCCAUCACGCGUGUGCGAUGAAGGCCUUCGGGUUGUAAAGCACUUUUGGCAGGAAAGAAAUCGCACGGGCUAAUACCUCGUGUGGAUGACGGUACCUGCAGAAUAAGCACCGGCUAACUACGUGCCAGCCGCCGCAGUAA
rnacentral:rRNA from 1 species